GUGCACGCUUCUGGUUGCAUACAGGAGUGGAGAGAAUCCGCAUUUAGAAGGGAAAAGCGGUAUUCUGUACGUUUGCUGUGUAAUGCCAAUGCAGGGCACACAGACCGUUCCGAUACCCAAAAACAAUGACAGCAAGCCAAGCAAAGUUACAAACAACCUCGGAGAUCAAGAACAGUGAUGAGCAGUUCAGGACGAUAAGGUUAUCAAAAGAUGGGUAUCGAAGACUGCUUGCAAGCGCUUGAAUAACAGGCAGGAGAUCAGAUUCUGCACAAACAUGCAGACUUUAACAAAACUUGCUCUUUUCCUCAUUUUCCAUUAGCUUUGUCUGCAUCCAAAGUUCUAACAGAAAAGUGGGGUACACAUAAUAAACUAAGCCAUUAUGGAAAGUGUUCCCAGGGCAUGUAAAAUGUAAAGAAAGCUAACGUGGGGAUCCACACCAGAACUGGCGUGGAUAUUCCCAAGUUUCCAUUUUCAUGUUGGAGAGGAAAUCUUAUUUUCAGUCUCAAGCAGCUAGAUAUAUCUCAGGAAAACUGGAAGUGCUUCUCUGUCUUUCAUCCCAGCCUCCUGGUCACUUAAUUACAAUUGCAUCAAAGUCCCAAAUGCUUCCAAACACCCAAAGUUCCCAGUGCUGAGGAAUUUCCCUGUGCUUCGCCUGUGAGGGACUGCAGAGUUUCCUUGAGUCUUACAAGCCAGCCUCUGAGGGCUUUUGCACAACCCUGAGCUGUGAUUACCAUCUGAAAGGGAAACAGCACUUCACCUUUAAAGCCCUAAACGGCCUCGGUCCAGUAUACCUGAAGGAGCGUCUCCACCUCCAUUGUUCUGCCAGGACACUGAGGUCCAGCGCCGAGGGCCUUUUGGCAGUUCCCUCGCUGCGAGAAGCCAAGUUACAGGGAACCAGGCAGAGGGCCUUCUCGGUAGUGGCACCCGCCCUGUGGAAUGCCCUCCCACCAGAUGUCAAAGAGAAAAAUAACUGCCAAACUUUUAGAAGACAUCUAAAGGCAGCCCUGUUUAGGGAAGCUUUUAAUGUUUAAUAGGUUAUUGUAUUUUAGUGUUUUGUUGGAAGCCGCCCAGAGUGGCUGGGGAAACCCAGCCAGAUGGGAGGUGUAUAAAAAAUAAAUUAUUAUUAUUAUUAU